GAUGAACGCUGGCGGCGUGCCUAAUACAUGCAAGUCGAGCGAACAGACGAGGAGCUUGCUCCUCUGACGUUAGCGGCGGACGGGUGAGUAACACGUGGAUAACCUACCUAUAAGACUGGGAUAACUUCGGGAAACCGGAGCUAAUACCGGAUAAUAUAUUGAACCGCAUGGUUCAAUAGUGAAAGACGGUUUUGCUGUCACUUAUAGAUGGAUCCGCGCCGCAUUAGCUAGUUGGUAAGGUAACGGCUUACCAAGGCAACGAUGCGUAGCCGACCUGAGAGGGGUAUCGGCCACACUGGAACUGAGACACGGUCCAGACUCGUACGGGAGGCAGCAGUAGGGAAGCUGCCGCAAGGGGCGAAAGCCUGACGGAGCAACGCCGCGUGAGUGAGGAAGGUCUCGGAUCGGAAAACUCUGUUAUUAGGGAAGAACAAAUGUGUAAGUAACUAUGCACGUCUUGACGGUACCUAAUCAGAAAGCCACGGCUAACUACGUG
rnacentral:rRNA from 1 species